UACGGGGGGAGCAAGCGUUGUUCGGAUUUACUGGGCGUAAAGGGCGCGUAGGCGGCGCAACAAGUCACUUGUGAAAUCUCGGGGCUUAACUCCGAAACUGCAUUCGAUACUGCGGUGCUUGAGGACUGGAGAGGAGACUGGAAUUUACGGUGUAGCAGUGAAAUGCGUAGAGAUCGUAAGGAAGACCAGUGGCGAAGGCGGGUCUCUGGACAGUUCCUGACACUGAGGCACGAAGGCCAGGGGAGCAAACGGG
rnacentral:rRNA from 1 species